rnacentral:rRNA from 1 species
GGCCAGACUCCUACGGGAGGCAGCAGUGGGGAAUAUUGCACAAUGGGGGAAACCCUGAUGCAGCGACGCCGCGUGAGUGAAGAAGUAUUUCGGUAUGUAAAGCUCUAUCAGCAGGGAAGAAAAUGACGGUACCUGACUAAGAAGCCCCGGCUAACUACGUGCCAGCAGCCGCGGUAAUACGUAGGGGGCAAGCGUUAUCCGGAUUUACUGGGUGUAAAGGGGGCGCAGACGGCGAUGCAAGCCAGGAGUGAAAGCCCGGGGCCCAACCCCGGGACUGCUCUUGGAACUGCGUGGCUGGAGUGCAGGAGGGGCAGGCGGAAUUCCUGGUGUAGCGGUGAAAUGCGUAGAUAUCAGGAGGAACACCGGUGGCGAAGGCGGCCUGCUGGACUGCAACUGACGUUGAGGCCCGAAAGCGUGGGGAGCAAACAGGAUUAGAUACCCGAGUA